GCGUCUGUGGUGCAGCGGUUUAGUACGCGCUCCCGGAUUGAGUGAAGUGUGGGUUUAAAUCUCACCGGACGCA